rnacentral:tRNA from 10 species
CGGGGCGUAGCGCAGUCUGGUAGCGCACUUGCAUGGGGUGCAAGGGGUCGCAGGUUCAAAUCCUGCCGUCCCGACCA